UACGUAGGGUGCGAGCGUUAUUCGGAUUUACUGGGCGUAAAGCGUGUGUAGGUUGUAGGUUGCGUCUUCGAUUAAAGACCAGAGCUCAACUCUGGGAAUGUUGAAGAUACGGGCUUACUAGAGAUUUGCAGGGGCAGAUGGAAUUCCUGGUGUAGCAGUGAAAUGCGUAGAUAUCAGGAAGAACACCAAUGGCGAAGGCAGCUUGCUGGGCCUUUUCUGACGCUGAGGUACGAAAGCGUGGGGAGCGAACAGG
rnacentral:rRNA from 1 species